CCUCCGAAUAUUCACAAAUCGAUACUCGAUGUGAAUCAUAAUCGAUAACUCUGCGUCGUCAGAAUGUUCUGUCCACUGACCAACCACCACGUGCCCAACAUAAUUGGCAAAUUAUUUAAUUAUUGGAACUGUCAGAAUAAAAAAAAAACAGCCCACAAAUAUCUGGUCGUUUAAGCAUAAAUUAAAUUAAUUCCCGACACCUGAGAUCGCCAACCAUACCGUUCACUCCCCAUACCGGUCACACCGCCGCAUUUACCUUCUCAUGCAUCACACAUACAUAGCCCCAUUGAGACAUACGAGCCAACACCGACUCCCAUAUGGUAGGGAAUCUAAACACAUGAAAUGGCAAAGCACAACACAUGAAGGCAAACCGACCAGUACAGCCCUCUGGCCAUCACCAAUUGCUGGGGCUCUUCAGAACACACCCGUGGCAGGCAGACAAUAGCCGCAGAGGGCCAUGCAACAAAACUUCGAGGGCUGCAAGUACACGCGUAAGACAUCGAUGUGCAUGGAUAGGAGUCAUCGCCUAGAGUUCAGUCACGUGGGGAACUCCCACACCCUGUUGGUCUCAUGCCGGGCAAUAUGCCUGGUGUGCAAUAUCGAAAAGGUGACGUCAUCUAACUGAGUCCGUUUUACCACCCUCACUAGGAGUAUCUUCCGCUUCCCGAGCAAAAUGGUACGUGGUCGUGACGUGUGUGUGAUUGCCUCAUCUGAACCCCAUCCUUCCCGUGUACAUUAGUGCCUUGUCAUCAUUUACCCACUUUUAUACCUGUUCCCAAAUUCCCAAUAUCAUGUAAUUUGUGUGUGUCGUAUCACGGAAGUUUAUUCACAGCUACACAUUUUUUCCUAUUCGCUGACACUGUCAGCAGUCCAUUAAAAUCUUUCCCUUUUCACACCUCUUUAA